rnacentral:rRNA from 1 species
ACGAACGCUGGCGGCGUGCUUAACACAUGCAAGUCGAACGGAAAGGCCCUGCUUUUGUGGGGUGCUCGAGUGGCGAACGGGUGAGUAACACGUGAGUAACCUGCCCUUGACUUUGGGAUAACUUCAGGAAACUGGGGCUAAUACCGGAUAGGAGCUCCUGCUGCAUGGUGGGGGUUGGAAAGUUUUGGCGGUUGGGGAUGGACUCGCGGCUUAUCAGCUUGUUGGUGGGGUAGUGGCUUACCAAGGCUUUGACGGGUAGCCGGCCUGAGAGGGUGACCGGCCACAUUGGGACUGAGAUACGGCCCAGACUCCUACGGGAGGCAGCAGUGGGGAAUAUUGCACAAUGGGCGGAAGCCUGAUGCAGCAACGCCGCGUGAGGGAUGACGGCCUUCGGGUUGUAAACCGCUUUCGCCUGUGACGAAGCGUGAGUGACGGUAAUGGGUAAAGAAGCACCGGCUAACUACGUG